AGCUGUAUAGGCACUACUAUUCAUGAACAAUUACAGAAAAACUUGUUAAUUGUAUUUGAAAGUUUAUUGUGCAUGCUAGUUUAUGUGUUAUCAUUUUGUUAAUGUUUGUUUAGACAGUAUUAAAUUUUCUGUUGACGAAAUUAUUGGCUAUUCUAUAUUUCCAAGUUACAUUUUUACAAAUUAUACAUCUUACAGUUCUUAUAGGACUCGUUAAAGGUUCCUGAGCCUACGGUAAUUAAAGUACCGAGAUUAAAGUAUUAAACAAUAAGCUGCUGCAAAUAGAGCAAUUACCUCUUCUCCAACUGUAGCAGUGGGGAGUGGAAACCUAUUUUUCUCCAGACUGAACUGAUCUUCCGUGGUUUUCCUAUACACAGGAUUAUCGAAAUUCAUACUCGUGACGUUACG